GUUUUUUUUUUUUAAUCUUAAAUACCCAAAAUUUCUUAAUUGAAUUUUCCAUUUUUCUAAAAUUUAAUUCUUGGAAGUACGUAUCGCUUUAAUUUCGUUUUUCUCAGAUUAGCAUUUGAGAUUUUCCAGGCAAAUAAAAAAAGUAUCUCUUUUUUUCUUUUCCGAUUCUAAGUUAACCUUUCUAGACUAUUUAAAUAGAAUUAAUUGAAAGGAAGAGAGAGAGAGAAAGGGGAAAAAAAGAGGUGGCAGAACUCUUUCUGACCGAAGUCCUACAUCAAAAUUCUAUAAUUAAAUUAUCUCCCACCAGAACAAAUUUAGAACCUUUCUGACUGUAGAUAUCUAGUGAUUCUGGUAUGGUGCACUGUGUAAAGGUCGUGUUCAGUCGUUAGUUUUUAUCUAAAAGCGAUCACUAAAAAUUAGGCCAAUACGUGCUAUCAGAAUUUACUUUCCAAGAGAAAAUUUUAAAAGCGAGUGUAAAAGCAAAAACCACUUAACUUUCCUACCGCAAAAGUACACUUGGUUUAAUUCGACACGGACCGUACAUUACACCCUUUCUACCUAAAACCGCGUAAAGUAAUUAUUGUGAAUCACUCCUCAUCGGAUAUCGAACCGCGGUGUGUGUACCUCUCAUUCUUGAGACCGUCCAAACUAAGUUCAGAAAUAUUUAACCACUUCAAAUCCCUAGGGGUGCUUGGCCAGGUCUUAAUGCGUUUCCUUAUCUCCUGUGCGUGCCCUAGGGACAGAUGCACUUGGGUUGUUCACUUUUUUCGCUAUCUUUGGUUAAUUAUUGGUCUUGCUCGAGGUCGGAUGAUGUUUUUUCCCCUUCUCUCUCUCUCUUCACAUCCCGUUUCCGCGUUAAGGGGGAAUGUCUUUGUAUCGGUGAUAUCACUCCUACACCUCUUUCUCAAAUUUAAUCACUUGUUAUAGAAAGAAUCGAAGAUGCAUUUUUAACGAGUGUUUUUAACUAAAUUACUAGCAUUUUUGUGCUUAAUAAACGCAUAUCGGUAUUAUAAUUGGGGUUAUGUAUAUAAAGAAAAAAAAGAGAAACAGAUGACUUGUGAAUGGAUGGCUGCCAAGAAGAACGUUGUUAAUUCCUGACAGUUCGUAAGCAUCAUCCAUAUCUUUAAACACACACACACACACACAAAAAAAAAAACCUCUAGUUAUGAAUAUUCAUACUUACAGAACAUGAAAUUUCACAAAAUUUCAAAAACUUUGAAGUAAUAUGAUAAAUUGCUCUAGCAGCCAAUAUAAUAUAAAAUUACACAAUUAGUUAACAUAUUAUGGCAGCAUUUCAAGAUGAUGGUAAUUAAAUCUAAAAUUCCUUGCAUUAUAUUCAGAAUUUUUCAUUAAACUCUGUGAAAUAAGCUUUUAAUUGAUCCAGUUAUGAAAUAUAUUACAAUAUAUAGUAUAUAAAAUUAUUUCAGUAUUUUUGGAACCGAAAUAACAGUGCUA
rnacentral:lncRNA from 1 species